rnacentral:lncRNA from 1 species
UCUAGCUGAAAUUAGAAAUAAUCUUUAAGAUGAACCACAAGGCAGACAUGAGCAGCAGACUGCCCCAAAAAUAAUCAUCAUUACCACAUGUAGGUGUCUAUUGUUUAAGGCAUAAUCCAAGCUGCCUGGCAAAGGCGGAUAUGGAACAGGGCGGGGCAGUAGUAAGAUGGAAGAGGAGGGGCUGGGACGGUGAUUGUACUUCAAACAUAGACGCGGUAAUCACCAGCGUAGAAAAAGCAGACGGUAAUUAUUACCCAGCUGCGAGUGCACCUCCACAACAACACAUGUACUUUGCCAAAUCAAUCAGUCGCACGUCCACAACGACAUAUGUACCUUGAUGAAUCAAUCAGUGCUACAUUAAUGGUCAGCGGGAGACAUUUACCAAUUCUCAGAUCCGAUGUUUAUCAUGGACUGGAGGUAAUUGUGGGAGAGACAGAGAGGCUGUUUUCGGUGCCAGAGCUAGCUUAACACAGCUCCCAUACCACCGAUCACACCACCAGUACGCUAAGAAGUUGCAUCUUUGUAAAAGACACAGUUCUUACCCAACUGUUUUGAUAUUCUUGCUUCAUGCCAACAGUGUGUGUUGUCAGGCAGGGUGUGUUGCUUUUAUUUCCUUUUACCGGCUGCAGGUAAAAAUGGAAGCCAUCAAGGCGUUGUGAACCAAUUAUUUGAUAGUGGGCAAGUUCAGCUCACCUCCAUGACACAACCAUCUUCGGACAAUCGAGAAAACUCAUGUGACUCUGAAGGGAGAACAUAUCCCAUCCUCACAUCCCUACUCAUACCCACCAAUGCGUUCUAGUUAAAUUAAUUUAGAGUCAUAUGUCCAAUCUUUGUCACUCAAAACUUCACACUGUAAAUUGAAACACUCCAUUCAAUCCCAACUUGAAAUCUUUUCUUUUGUCCAAUCACGAGUGUCCUUUGCCUAAUACCCAUAGCAAAUAAAAAUUGUGAUUCUAUUAAUUCAAGUGUUUGUGCAACAUCUUAUGCAUGAUCAUGUGACAUUGUCAAGAUCGGUUUCAGAUGGCUGUGACAGACAGGAUAAUGGAGGAUCAUGCAAAGCUAAUAAUUGGAGUUACCUCCCCUUCAGGGGUCUUUCAUAUGGGUGACACAAGUCAAACAAUACAAUGCUUCAUGUAAUUUGUUUCCUUCAAAUCUGACAGGAUUUUUUUCCAGCUGGUGAACCUAAUCACACUGCACAAAACCCCUGAGCGAUUCUUGCUUAGCGAGGUGUAAACACUGGACAGAUUAGCCCGGUCCCACAGAUAAAUCAAACCUACAAACAUGAUUUGGUUGCAUGCUUGGUAUUAUAAAUCAGGCUGUGCUGGAGUCAGACAGGCAAAGAUCUCAGCAUGCCUCAGCCAGGGGAGACAUGAUAGGGUGACAAUAUAAACUAAACGUGACUGGUGAAGCCAACACAGGCACUUAGAGAUGAUCCAGGCACUGCAUUUACUUCAGGGAAUGUAAUACACGGCCAUUGUGUGGCUGGCUCACACAGGAAAACACGCUUUUAUCUCACGAGGAAUAGGCUUGUCUCUAUCAAAAGGGAAAUGCACACUUGUAUCUAGCUAGGAGGGAAUACAAACUCGUAUCUGCCAGGAGAGCGUUGGCUAGUGACUGAGGUAUAACACUGUAUAUACAUCCAUCUAGGUGAGUGUACACACAUCCAUCUUGUGUUGCAGACACUAACUGGUGAGGCCUUGUAAUGUGAUCACAAUCUGCCCAAUGGAGUAAUUAUACAGACUUGAAGACCACUAAUGGAAUAUAAGGCCCCAUCUAUGAUGAAGUGGUACACCAUUACAUGGCUGCUGUGUGAAUCAGCCUGGAUACACGGCCAUCUGAUUGGGUCAGAGAAUAUAAGGUGCUAAAUAUGGCCGUCAUGAUAUGGAGCGUGGGGUGCUGCACUUGCCACUGCCUGGCAAGACGGAUGUAUUUCUCAAUCACUUGUGUGUGCGAGAGCUACUAAGACAUUGGGUGAUACACACGCCAGAACCUGGACAGAGAUGUGUUUGUUUGAUCCUCUGUGUGUGUGAGGAGCUUUCUUAAGGCACAAUCAGCAGCAGAUCAAAGGCAAAUCAAGUUAUCCCACAGGACUAGGAAAAGGCAGGGUGCUUCACCACAAACAGUGGAAUUGUCAUCAGUUGAUAAAAUUACAUGGCAUGAUAUGGGCUGCAGACACGCUGACAUGUGGGAGUGGUAAACCCAUCAUCCUGGACAUUCAACGGGAGUCAGUUGAGUGUAGUGGAGUCGGGGGGAUGUGGAGGGUACUGGCGUCUGGGAGGUGUGGAGUGUACUUGGGGAUGUGCAGUGUACCGGGGGAGGCUGGUGUGGCCGUCACUUGGGGGACAGUCGAUACCUGUUUCGAGUGAAGUGAAGGUGGAAUUGGUGAUGACCAAGACGUGAACAUGGAUUACUUGUUUCAAAGGAAAAAAAGUAUCCGAGUAUGGAGAUUUACAAGCAUCACAAGGAUUGCACCAUGUGUCCAUGUGUCCAUGUGUCAGUGAUGGUGAUUUGGUGAUUUUCCUUUAUCAGCUAUGGACUCAGCCAUGUGUAGCAAUGAUGGAUAUAUACCAGUAUUGGAUAUUGAGCAAAGAGAACCCACUGCUGUGCAAGAAACCAUCUUCCUUUUAAGAUAACUACUGCACUGUCAAGAUGUCUCAGCCUACAACAAAUUGCUCUACAAUUUUAUGGUUCAACUGGGCCAGGUAAUGUGAACAGAAGUACAUCACUAACAGGAACCUGGUUUCAAAGGGUUCAGGGUCUGCUGGAAAUGGAUUUCAAUCAGUGUUCACUGGUGCCGAGAUCUGGAAAACUGUUCAGCUGAUGUAAGAAUGAAGUGCAGCGAUUCCACAGCCUGCAAUCAGCAUCAGAUAAACUUGCACGUCAAUCAGGGUGGAGGAACAAACUGUGAUGAACCGAUAACAACCAUCUCCCCAGUGCAGUAUGGGCACGUCGUGGGAUAGCCUUGAUGCAAGAGCUGUUGCAGCGCCCAGCUUACACAAUUCAGGUGAUCAAGGGGCGAACUACACUGUGAUGAGGUGACGGUUAUGUGCAGGUGACGGGUAUGUGCACUUCAGGGGAUAGCAUCGGUGAAAGAGCUGUUGCAGCUCCCAGCUUAGACAGUUCAGGUGAACUAGUGAUCUCAUUGUCAUGUCAAUGGAUAAGGAUGGAGAUCUCAAAAAUAGAAGGAUGCAAUCUCUAUGAAUAAGGAUGCGAUCUCGAUGUGUACGGAUGCGAUCUCGAUGAUAAGGAUGGGGAUCUCGCUGGAUUAGGAUGUGAUCUCGAUGGAUAAGGAUGUGAUCUCAAUGGAUAGGGAUGUGACCUCAAUGGAUAGGGAUGGGGAUCUCGAUGGAUAGGCAAGUGAAUGCAGGGAAUAACCAUCAGUGCCUAGGUGACAGAACAGCUUCAGCUCCAAGACUUCAUGGCAAUGUUUUCUCAUUAUGGGGGACGUGUUUGUGUUGUGUGCCCUGUGAUGGAGGAUAAUGGAUUACACAAGCCUCCCGCUGCUGCCGCUGUCAGAUUUCCAAGGGAGGUAACUUCUUACUCAAUAGGAAACUUCCUACAAGACAAUCUAGAAGCAGAGAGAAAACUAAAACUGAAUGACACACAGACAGGCGAUCCCCGACAAGACCGGUGCCACACUAGCGGGAGGGGCUGAUGUCUUGCCACCGAUCAAGCGAGUCUCGUCCCACCAACGAAGGCCAACAGCAGCGAGUGGCAGUGACAAAGUAAGUGUACGUUGCUAUGUGUGACUGACUGAGGCCAGGUUGGUAGGUAGGUAGGUAGGUAGGUAGGUAGGGUACUCACUUGGUUUUGUCCCAGCAUGGGAUUGUGAGGAGGCUGUGAAUGGGGGGACGGCUGGGACGCGGGAGGCUGUCAACGUGAAAGAGGCCGAUGGCCAGUGGGAGACAUUGUCAGCAAUGUGCAAAUAAUCCGGUGUAGUUCCACACGCAAGUCAGCAUGUGAAUUUUCAACUUGCUACCUCACAAUUGUAAUAUUCAUUCAAAGAAUUUUCCAACUUAAUACCCAACUACCAAAACUAUUUGAAAAGGCUGGAAGAGGAACUGAAUCCGCUGUGAGGGAAUACCUGGCGGGGAAGCAUGCACGCGGUGAUGCUGACGCUGUGCUCAUGCAGUUCUUUACGACGUGGACCCCACGCUCUAUCACUUCACAGACGAACAACUCUUACAAUCACAACAAAACCUGGAUCUACAACAACUGCCGUUCGCUAAUGAACUCACAAUCCUAACACUGAGUGACUGCAGGGAACAAGCAUUCAAGUGCUAGAUUGAACACAAUAGUUUACAUAUCCAUCUGCCCUAGACUUCAAUAAUUUUGUUUAUUAUUUAUUCCUAGAUUAAACUAAUAUCUUCCUCACUCAUUCCUAGAUAUAAUCAUAUAUCUCUAUCCACUAUUCAAAUAAUUAACACAUGUAUAUUACAUCACACUCAAUCUACUGAUUAACCAUAGAGUGAGUGAGUGAGUAUGGUUUUACGCCACUUUUAGCAAUAUUCCAGCAAUAUCACGGCGGGGGACACCAGAAAUGGGCUUCACACAUUGUACCCAUGUCGGGAAUCGAACCCGGGUCUUCGGCGUGACGAGCGAACGCUUUAACCACUAGGCUACCCGACCGCCCCGAUUAACCAUAGAGAAACACACAUUACAGAUUGUUCCUUGUCAAGAUCUGAUCUUGUUAUUACUGAAUGUGCCUCCUCCCUUGUAGGUAAGAUACCCCAUGCUACGAAACCCUAUUCAGUACAGCGUCUUGGAUGCCUGAAACAUCGCAAUCUAUGAACUACUCAACUAGAGAGAGGUAUAAGUAGAUAAAAUAGAAUGAUAAACUUUGAUCUAUAAAUGUAUCACACUGACUAGCCUAAUUGUUACAGAAGGGUAUACCCAAAGGAAGUCUUGUGAUAAGUUUGUCUGUGAUUUACUUACAGGAAAAAAACUAGGUGGCAUGGGACCGCCAGGCAUGCCAUCUUGUGGGGGCAUCUGACUGAGCGGACUGGGCGCUGCAUUCUGGAACAAAAACAUGCACCAUUAGCAGAGUCACUCACAAUCAGCAGAAAAUACAUUCAGAAACAUAAUUUAUGUAUUAGUAAGAAUAUGAAUUGCAUGUUGUUUUAUGCCAGUCAGCAAUAUUCCACAAGAUGGUGGACUGCUAAUCAAGUCUGGAGCCAUCAAAGCAGGGCAGUCAUACUGCCAUCACUGUCGUAAGUCUACGAGUUACGACUGUCUUAGGGUUGCGAUCACUUUGUGAAAUGGGACCCUGAGGUUAUGUCCUAAUCCUGGUUACAGGUAGUAAGUGUUUCAUAAUAGGUUCAAAACACAAACUUCGGUACUAGGGACCCAUUUUGACCCAGCAUAGUCAAAGAGUGUCUAUACUAUGAAGUAAUUGAUAUUUAUUAAUACAGAUCCCAGAUAAUCAAAAAUAUAAAGAGGUAUCAGAUAUUCAGAAAUUGCUGAUGAAAAUAGUGAGAAUGGAGCUAGCUCGAAAAGAAAGAAAAACCUUCCUAGUGGCAGUGGUUGAUCGUGUGAAGAUUAUGACAUUAAAUGUUCCUAUCAUCAACAUAAUUAUCAUUAUCAUAAUUAUUACUGUGACAGUGAUAAUUAGUGUCAUUGUUAUUAGCAUUGUUAUAACCCACAAGUGGUGUUGAGAAAUCUUCCAUGAAUUGUUAUCAGAGGCAAGUCGUGCUUGGGAGAAUAGCACAACGUGCUGGUAAACACCAGCUUGUAGCUAGAGGUUGGCAACACGUUAAUGUAUUUUGUAUUCUGAACUUGUUAACAGGUCAAAGCAUGCAUUAUUUGCCAUGACUUUUCCAGAUAAACUUUGUGAGUGGUCAUGGAUGUUAGUGCACUCAUUUGGAAACUUAGUCGUAAAAGUUCAAGACAUGUUCAAAAAUAUUCAGAUGAAUACAACAUGUUUAGUUUGUUAAUCUUCGGUCUUGUGUUUCUUGACUAAUAUAGAAGUAUUUGAUAUUCAGCAAAUACAAUAUCAUUUCACUGUAUCAAUUCCUGAGGAAUAUGUUUGCAUAAAGAAUCAUACCAUAACUUUCAGUUAUAACUCACUGAGGCAUGAUCUUUCUCCCUUUUUUACAGAUUUGUGUGAAAAAUCCAGGUAUUUUUGAGGGGAGGAGAGGGAGUGAGAAGAGAAGAAAAAGUUCAGAUUUAUUUUUGUUGUUGCCAAGUGAUCAUAAGAGCCAUGCCGUUUAACAUAUUGUAUGUGUAAUUAUGUCUUGAACACAUGAAAGUUUGCAUUACAUAUUAUUUUCACAUCUUCAUGUCCAAAAUCUAUCUUAACACAAACAGAAUCAGUAAACCAAUUACCAAUAGAGUCCUAUUUUAAUCAAUUUUUUUUUUUUUUUUAUCUAAUUAAUUCCCAUUUUAGUUAAUUUGUGAAAAGGUUUUGAACUUUCUAUUUAAUGAAAAACAUGUAAAUCAAGCAGUGUUGUUAAGCAAAUAAAGAGAAGUCUUCUUUUAAUAAAUUGUUAGGCGUUUGCAUCGGUUUGGCAGAUCGCACCUCGAGAAAUUCAGAAAAUGAUGUUCUACAAGUAAUGGAUGUACCACAUGCAUGCAGAAAGUCAUCAAAGGUAAACAAUGAAAGCUGAACCUAUUGUGUAGAAGUUAAAUCUUGCCUUGCUGAUCAAUAGAAUAAACUUGAGGUUUAUUUUGAACAAUAAAAUGAAUCUACUG